rnacentral:sRNA from 1 species
CCCUAGCCCAGAUGGCAGUGAAAAGCUUCACCGAGCUGCUCCCGAUUUUUUCUUGACAGAAAAGAGCGACCAAAGGAAGCUCCUUUUAUGGCUUUAGAAAAAACUGGGACCAGCUCAAGAACUUGAAGCGCACAGCUGGAAUAGCU